rnacentral:rRNA from 1 species
GACGUAGGUGGCGAACGUUAUCCGGAAUCAUUGGGCGUAAAGGGUGCGUAGGUGGCCUGAUAAGUUAGCAGUGGGAAAUCGAGGCUCAACCUCGUGGAAGCUGGUAAUACUGUUAGGCUAGAGUGCAGGAGAGGUUAACGGAACUCCAUGUGGAGCGGUAAAAUGUGUAGAUAUAUGGAAGAACAUCAAUAACGGCGAAGGCAGUUAACUAGUCUGUUACUGACGUUGAGGCACGAAAGCGUGGGGAGCAAAACGG